rnacentral:rRNA from 1 species
UAGCUAGUUGGUGAGGUAAAAGCUACACCAAGGCGACGAUCGGUAGCUGGUCUGAGAGGAUGGCCAGCCACACUGGAACUGAGACACGGUCCAGACUCCUACGGGAGGCAGCAGUGGGGAAUAUUGGACAAUGGGGGCAACCCUGAUCCAGCAAUGCCGCGUGUGUGAAGAAGGCCUGAGGGUUGUAAAGCACUUUCAGUGGGGAGGAGGGUAUUUAGGUUAAGAGCUAGGAUACUGGACGUUACCCACAGAAGAAGCACCGGCUAACUCCGUGCCAGCAGCCGCGGUAGUACGGAGGGUGCGAGCGUUAAUCGGAAUAACUGGGCGUAAAGGGUGCGUAGGUGGUUAGAUAAGUUAUCUGUGAAAUCCCCGGGCUCAACCUGGGCAGGUCAGAUAAGACUGUUUGACUCGAGUAUAGGAGGGGGUAGUGGAAUUUCCGGUGUAGCGGUGAAAUGCGUAGAGAUCGGAAGGAACACCAGUGGCGAAGGCGGCUACCUGGCCUGAUACUGACACUGAGGCACGAAAGCGUGGGGAGCAAACAGGAUUAGAUACCCUGGUAGUCCACGCCGUAAACGAUGUCAACUAGCUGUUGGCCUUAUGAAUAAGGUUAGUGGCGC